AAAUUGCUCCCCCUUAGAUGUAUAAGCUUUCUUAUAUGAUUUUUAAUUUGUUUUACAAGUUAUUUCUCUUUCUUUCUUUACUUCUCCUUUCUUUAACUUUCUUUACUUCUCCUUUCUUUAACUUUCUUUACUUCUCCUUUCUCUACUUUUCCUCUUAUCAAUCUUUCUUUACUUACUCUAAAGAUAUCUUUACUUCUCCCUUUUUUGUUACUUUAUCUAAUCUACAAAAUCUUUACUUCUCUCCUAAGAUCUUUACUUCUCCUAAAAUAAAUACUCUUACUUUACUUCUCCCCCUUUUUGUUAUCAUCAAAAAGAUACAUGGGAAAGAUGCAAUAAAUAGCAAACUUCAAACUUCAUUGAUCAAAAUAGGAAUAUUCAGAAGAGGACAGGGGCAAACAGUGCCCUAACAAUGCUCUCGGGUCCCCCUUUUUAACAGUGGGGUCCCGACGUUGGGUCGACUCACGAAUUUUCUUGGGUCGACUCAACGUUGGGUCGACUCUAUUCUGGGUUGGGUCGACCCAAGGUCAGAAAUUUUUUCUUUCUCUUCCUUUUCGCUUCUAAAAAUUUUCCUUGCUUCCAAUCCUUACAAAUUCUUUCUGGGACAAUGAUACAUGAGUAAGGAAUCUAUAGAUUACAAGUUUGACUCAUGUUUCAUGGGUUUUUAGAAAUGGGAGGAAUGUAUCAUGAGACUGCUUGCUC
rnacentral:lncRNA from 1 species